CUAUUACAACAGGUAACUUGGGAAAUUUUCCCAAAUCAGCUACAUUUGCCUAUUUUUUGCAAUUCAGUUUUCAAUUCAGGUUUUCGUUGAAUAAACACCACGGUGGUUUGACUAUUUUUGGCUAGUGCAUUACAAAGAAUUGACAAGGGAAAUGCAAAUAUUUGGGUUAGUAUUGUGGCUUACAUUUUGCAGCUCUUUAAUGGGUUUGUUUACUAGACCACAACUGCACAUUUUAGACAAGAAUCUUUUAGCUGCAAAAAUAGCUG